rnacentral:rRNA from 1 species
ACGGGAGGCAGCAGUGAGGAAUAUUGGUCAAUGGACGAGAGUCUGAACCAGCCAAGUAGCGUGAAGGAUGACUGCCUAUGGGUUGUAAACUUCUUUUAUAUGGGAAUAAGUGGAGUAUGUAUACUCUUUUGUAUGUACCAUAUGAAUAAGGAUCGGCUAACUCCGUGCCAGCAGCCGCGGUAAUACGGAGGAUCCGAGCGUUAUCCGGAUUUAUUGGGUUUAAAGGGAGCGUAGGCGGAUGCUUAAGUCAGUUGUGAAAGUUUGCGGCUCAACCGUAAAAUUGCAGUUGAAACUGGGUGUCUUGAGUGCAGUAUAGGCAGGCGGAAUUCGUGGUGUAGCGGUGAAAUGCUUAGAUAUCACGAAGAACUCCGAUUGCGAAGGCAGCUUGCUGGAGUGUCACUGACGCUGAUGCUCGAAAGUGUGGGU